UACGUAGGGGGCUAGCGUUGUCCGGAAUCAUUGGGCGUAAAGAGCGUGUAGGCGGCCCGGUAAGUCCGCUGUAAAAGUCAAAGGCUCAACCUUUGAAUGUCAGUGGAUACUGCCGGGCUAGAGUCCGGAAGAGGCGAGUGGAACUCCUGGUGUAGCGGUGGAAUGCGCAGAUAUCAGGAAGAACACCAACGGCGAAGGCAGCUCGCUGGGACGGUACUGACGCUGAGACGCGAAAGCGUGGGGAGCGGACAGG
rnacentral:rRNA from 1 species